UACGUAGGGGGCGAGCGUUGUCCGGAUUUAUUGGGCGUAAAGAGCUCGUAGGCGGUUCGGUUAGUCAGAUGUGAAAACUCCAGGCUCAACUUGGAGACGCCAUCUGAUACUGCUGUGACUAGAGUCCGGUAGGGGAGCACGGAAUUCCUGGUGUAGCGGUGAAAUGCGCAGAUAUCAGGAGGAACACCAGCGGCGAAGGCGGUGCUCUGGGCCGGUACUGACGCUGAGGAGCGAAAGCGUGGGGAGCGAACAGG
rnacentral:rRNA from 2 species